rnacentral:rRNA from 1 species
AGUGAACGCUGGCGGUAGGCCUAACACAUGCAAGUCGAACGGCAGCACAGUAAGAGCUUGCUCUUACGGGUGGCGAGUGGCGGUCGGGUGAGGAAUACAUCGGAAUCUACUUUUUCGUGGGGGAUAACGUAGGGAAACUUACGCUAAUACCGCAUACGACCUACGGGUGAAAGCAGGGGAUCUUCGGACCUUGCGCGAUUGAAUGAGCCGAUGUCGGAUUAGCUAGUUGGCGGGGUAAAGGCCCACCAAGGCGACGAUCCGUAGCUGGUCUGAGAGGAUGAUCAGCCACACUGGAACUGAGACACGGUCCAGACUCCUACGGGAGGCAGCAGUGGGGAAUAUUGGACAAUGGGCGCAAGCCUGAUCCAGCCGUACCGCGUGGGUGAAGAAGGCCUUCGGGUUGUAAAGCCCUUUUGUUGGGAAAGAAAAGCAGCAGGUUAAUACCCCGCUGUUCUGACGGUACCCAAAGAAUAAGCACCGGCUAACUUCGUG